rnacentral:rRNA from 1 species
UACGUAGGGUGCGAGCGUUGUCCGGAAUUACUGGGCGUAAAGAGCUCGUAGGUGGUUUGUCACGUCGUCUGUGAAAUUCCGGGGCUUAACCUCGGGCGUGCAGGCGAUACGGGCAAUACUUGAGUGCUGUAGGGGAGACUGGAAUUCCUGGUGUAGCGGUGAAAUACGCAGAUAUCAGGAGGAACACCAAUGGCGAAGGCAGGUCUCUGGGCAGUUACUGACGCUGAGGAGCGAAAGCAUGGGUAGCGAACAGGAUUAGAUA